rnacentral:rRNA from 1 species
AUGCCAGGUGUUCCCAGGGGACUGGCUGAGCAUCGCCUUAGAGUCGACUCAUCAGCAAAACGAGUUAAAGAGCAUCUUCGGCGGUCCGCCGUCCAGAAGAGAAAGGCUAUUGGUGAGGAAGUGGCUCGACUGUUGGCGGCAGGAUUUAUCCGAGAGAUAUACCACUCCGAGUGGCUCGCUAAUGUCGUCAUGGUUCCUAAGAAGGACAAAUCGCUACGAAUGUGCAUUGAUUUCAAGCACAUCAACCGGGCCUGUCCGAAAGAUCAUUUUCCUCUCCCUCAUAUAGAUCAAAUUGUUGACUCGACCGCGGGAUGCGAGAGAUUGUCUUUUCUAGACGCCUAUUCCGGGUACCACCAGAUCCGUCUGUACGGACCCGAUGAGAUAAAAACAGCUUUCAUCACUCCAUUCGGGUGCUUCUGCUAUAUCACCAUGCCAUUCGGCCUCAAGAAUGCCGGAGCCACAUUUAUGCGAAUGAUUCAGAAGUGUCUGCUCACUCAAAUCAGUCGGAAUGUGGAAGCGUAUAUGGAUGAUAUCGUCGUCAAGUCACGAAAAGGUUCCGACCUGCUCGCUGACCUCGCCGAAACAUUUUCCAACCUCAGAAGGUAUGAUAUCAAGCUCAAUCCAUCAAAGUGCACAUUCGGAGUUCCUGGUGGCAAGUUACUCGGUUUUCUCGUUUCCGAGCGAGGGAUCGAUGCUAAUCCAGAAAAGAUCGGCACUAUUCUCCGAAUGAAACGCCCUGUGCGAGUGCACGAUGUCCAGAAGCUUACUGGAUGCUUGGCCGCAUUAAGUCGGUUCAUCUCACGACUCGGUGAAAAGGCAUUGCCUCUUUACCGACUGAUGAAGAAGGCAGACAAGUUCGAGUGGACUCCAGAAGCUGAUGCAGCGUUUGCCGAGCUAAAAGCUCUGCUCUCCACCCAGCCGAUGCUUGCUGCUCCAAUCAGCAAAGAGCCUCUGUUGCUUUAUAUCGCAGCCACAGGACAAGUCGUUAGUACAGUGCUUACGGUCGAGCGGAAAGAAGAAGGAAAAGCCUUCAAAGUUCAGCGCCCAGUGUAUUAUUUGUCUGAAGUCUUGACUCCAUCCAAGCAGAGAUACCCUCAUUAUCAGAAGCUUGUGUAUGGAAUAUACAUGACCACGAAGAAGGUUGCUCAUUAUUUCUCUGAUCAUUCCAUCACAGUCGUCAGCGACGCUCCACUUUCAGAGAUUUUGCACAACAGAGAUGCAACUGGUCGAGUGGCGAAAUGGGCAAUUGAACUUCUUCCCCUUGAUAUCAAGUUUGAGGCAAAGAAAGCCAUUAAGUCCCAGGCAAUAGCAGAUUUCCUCGCCGAGUGGAUUGAACAACAACAGCCGACUGAAGUUCACUCGGAGCAUUGGACCAUGUUCUUUGAUGGCUCUAAAAUGUUGAAUGGUUCCGGUGCUGGGGUGGUCUUGGUUUCCCCCAGAGGAGAUAAGCUUAGAUAUGUGCUCCAGAUUCACUUUGAUUCCUCCAAUAAUGAGGCAGAGUAUGAGGCCCUCUUAUAUGGAUUACGCAUGGCCAUUUCACUCGACGUCCGUCGCCUGAUGGUCUAUGGCGAUUCAGAUUUAGUGGUCAACCAAGUGAUGAAGGAGUAG